CCUCUGAUGUGCACGCCAUGCCGAAUCAGCCUGGUGAACGGUCUGAACCAGGAAAAGCAUUCGUGACUGUCUUGGAUUUUACAUGCGUUGAUGAGCUGGUAAUGUGUAUCCUCAAUCAUCAUUCUAAUAUUCUGGAUAAAACGUCACUGACAAAUAAGAUCUGUUGCAAUGCCAGGUAAAAUUAAAAACUUGAUUCUCGACCGAACAAUUUCUUGAAAUCGCGGCGGAUCUCUAACAUAGACUGAAAUGAAUGAAAUCUCCGAAAUCAUAUCUAUUCGCUUUCAUCACAAGCUGCUAAAAGACUGCCGGAAACAGGCCUUACAACACACACAGCCCUGCUGAAUAGAGGGGUUUCAUAUCCAGCAAAGACUGUAGCUUUCCCUUCAUUGAGAUCUCCUCACAUCUAAAAUGCACAAGAAUAUCUUGAAGGUGAAAGCGUCAGGGAAACGCUUUGCAAAGAGUGUUGUCAAAAAGGUCAGACGGAAACUGAAAACUAGACGAUAUGUUCUAAGGAUGAUCUUUAGGUCUAUGGUAAUCUCCCUUUUAUGCUUAAGCUUCAUCUUAACCGUCCUGUCCCUUCGAAGCGACAUUAUAAAAAUCACAUUCGUCUUCCUCACCGUGACGUGUCUUGGUGCGACAGGGAUGAGCUUUCAUGACCAACAUAUGAAGUUCUACAUCGAUAAGCCAGCGAUUUGGGUGUUUUCUCUCUUCCUCCUUCCCCCUUAUCUCUGCCGAAAUCCCUUCAAUGAUGUCAUCAAUAUAAUCGGUGCUCUGAUUGGUUGCAGUGCGGUUAUUUUGAUUUGGAAGAUACCACGAUUGGGCGACGUGGGCCAAAAGAAUUCUAUUCCCUCUGGUGUAAUAGAGCUAAUCCUAGCUUUGACUUUCGUGUCUUGGCACUCGUGAUCAGCUUCGCCGUCUAUGGAGGUCUUUUGGUGGCGUCGAUGACUGUGCCUUUACUGGUCGGUGGACUUAACAUGGUUCUUGCCUGGACGUACGGGAGUUGGACAGCGGGCGUAAUUGGUCUGUGGAUAGCGUUUAAUUCAGUGGUGACGCCUCAAUGGGCUUUGGUUUUCGACUAGAUCAAGCCAAUUGUCCUUUUUUGUAGGACUCGAUAAUUCUCAAUUGUUUUUUUCAGAAGGCACAAAAGAUACAACUACGCCACUCUAUGGCCCCGCUCUUUAAAAAUAUGAUCGACUACAUGUAUUGCGAUAACUCUCCCGUAAGUUCAGACUCUGACGUCAUACUGACACCGUAUCAUGCGUUACUCACUAUACUAUCCGAGCCGAUUCCAUGACUGCGAGAUAGUAUUUGAAGCGGGGGUCAGUAAAAGUUCCGCUGACUUGACAUUGAUG